rnacentral:lncRNA from 1 species
AAGAGGUUAGAACUCUGAAGCCAACUGUCAAUGGUCUUCCAGCCUGGAAGAUGAAGGAGGAAGGAGGUUUUCCUGGAAGCUGAGAAAGAGCCUGUCCGUUUAGAACCUGUUAUUCCUUUUGGGACCCAAAAAUAUCUCAACUAGGACUCUUCAAGAAUAGCUACCUGAAUUCUCAAAUGUUGAGAGGAAUACUAUAACAUGACCUGGAUACUGUUAAUAUCUCUAAUUCACAAAGAGUUAGAAAAUCCAAUAGAAGGCCUGAGGGAAGUUGAAUGAUUCCUUAUGGAGUAGAAUGCUCCCCAUAUGGAUGAAGAAGCAUGGAAGAUGUAUAGUUUGCAUCAGAUUGUCUCCAGUGGUGAAAUCACAGUAUUGAAU